rnacentral:rRNA from 1 species
UACGAAGGGGGCUAGCGUUGCUCGGAAUCACUGGGCGUAAAGCGCACGUAGGCGGUUUGCUAAGUCAGGGGUGAAAUCCUGGAGCUCAACUCCAGAACUGCCUUUGAUACUGGCGAUCUCGAGUUCGGGAGAGGUGAGUGGAACUGCGAGUGUAGAGGUGAAAUUCGUAGAUAUUCGCAAGAACACCAGUGGCGAAGGCGGCUCACUGGCCCGAUACUGACGCUGAGGUGCGAAAGCGUGGGGAGCAAACAGG